UACGUAGGGUGCAAGCGUUAAUCGGAAUUACUGGGCGUAAAGCGUGCGCAGGCGGUUGUGUAAGACAGAUGUGAAAUCCCCGGGCUCAACCUGGGAACUGCAUUUGUGACUGCACAGCUGGAGUGCGGCAGAGGGGGAUGGAAUUCCGCGUGUAGCAGUGAAAUGCGUAGAUAUGCGGAGGAACACCGAUGGCGAAGGCAGCCCCCUGGGUCAAGACUGACGCUCAUGCACGAAAGCGUGGGGAGCAAACAGG
rnacentral:rRNA from 1 species